rnacentral:rRNA from 1 species
UACGAAGGGGGGCGAGCGUUGUUCGGAUUUACUGGGCGUAAAGGGCGCGCAGGCGGUCGUUUUUUGUCGAGUGUGAAAGCCCCGGGCUUAACCUGGGAACUGCGCUCGAAACGGGACGACUAGAGAUCGGGAGAGGAGAGUGGAAUUCCCCAGUGUAGAGGUGAAAUUCGUAGAUAUUGGGAAGAACACCGGUGGCGAAGGCGGCUCUCUGGACCGAUACUGACGCUGAGGCGCGAAAAGCGUGGGGGAGCAAACAGG